UACGUAGGGCGCAAGCGUUGUCCGGAAUUAUUGGGCGUAAAGAGCUCGUAGGCGGUUUGUCGCGUCUGCUGUGAAAACCUAAGGCUCAACCUUGGGCUUGCAGUGGGUACGGGCAGACUAGAGUGCGGUAGGGGGUGACUGGAAUUCCUGGUGUAGCGGUGGAAUGCGCAGAUAUCAGGGAGGAACACCGAUGGCGAAGGCAGGUCACUGGGCCGCAACUGACGCUGGAGGAGCGAAAAGCAUGGGGAGCGAACAGG
rnacentral:rRNA from 1 species